GAAAGCAGAGGAGGCAUUACAAAAUGUGUUUGUUAUAAAAAGGGGGCAUUGGGCCUGAUAGAGCCCUGGCCAGUAAAAACAAGAUGAUGUACUAGUGAAAGUACCAUCUGAGGGAAGCGGAGUCUGUUUCCCACAGCUGAUGCACCUUCUAUCUUUCUGACCCUGUUUUGUGCUCCAGGAGGUAGUUCUACAGCCUCCAUCAACAGGCAACUCAUCCCUCUGGGUCUCAGGUGUAUUCACAGCCAAUGAAGAACACCCACUCCAUUUUUGGAUCUGGAGCCAGAAGCAGAACAGCGAAGAAUUUUCUUCUCAUCUUGGCAGAUUGCAGAAUGGUGGCUGGUCAUUCUAUUGGUAGCGACAGGACUAGAAGCGAGUUGUCCUGUUGCUUAGCCUCAUGCUGUAAAUCAUCUACCCAGCCAAUAAGGUACUACAAAGAUCAAAACCAGCUUUUUUUUUUUCAUAUGUUGAAUAUAGAAAAUAUUAACUAGUCUAGAAGCUUAGUAGGUUCUUUUAUAGAGAUUCAAUUGCAAGAUUUAAGUUCAUGUCUUCCAGGGCCUUGGAGAAGGAUCCUGAAGAACUGAUGGGACUGGAGAUGAGUCAAGGAGGGAGAGAAAGAGAGUAGAGAGUCUUAUGGCUACACUGGAGUGGGGCUGGUGCACAGACCAGGUCCCUUACCAGCAGUCAAAUAUGGCUCCCAUGGAGUAUGAAAAACAUAGCACUUAGCAGUUGACUUAUAUUAUUGAGUCCAGAAGUUUCCUUAGUGAUUCUACACCUGUGAGCAUGAAGAUUUAACUAUUUCUAGAAACCAUUUCUAUUUACCUCUAAACCUGAACCUGGGUCUUAAGGGUCUUCUAGCUAUAUGUUAUUUGGAAAUAAAACAGUAUUUAAUUUUGAGGUGCCUGGGUGACUCGGUUAAGCAUCUGACUCUUGAUAUCAGCUCAGGUCUUGAUCUCAGGGUCAUGAGUUCAUGUCCCACAUUGGGCUCCACGCUGGAUGCUGAACCUACUUAAAAAAGCAAAACAAAACAAAACAACAGUAUUUAAUUUUAUCAAGCACACACAUAUACACAUAUAUAAAUCUGGCUUUCAAUAAUGUGCUUUUCUUUGUAGAUAAAGCUAAUACAACCUAUCCACAUUUUGAGUUAUUUUUUUAAUACAUUAUAUUCGGUG
rnacentral:lncRNA from 1 species